UACCAUAUUAUCUUCUACAACUUAAUUCUUGCAGAGUCUUAAGAACUUUUUGUGAUAUAAACAGCUAAUUCUCACACCACUGCUUACAGUUUGAUUCACUCAAUCUCUUAUCUCUUUAAGAAUUGAGUAUUUUAAUCAUUAUAUUUGAGAUCAAUUCACUUUCAAAUACUUCUCAAUCAGCAGUCAUUGAGUUAGCAGCAUCUGCAAUAUCUGUCUCAGCUAAUCAGCAGAAAAUUCAGCUCACUGAUUCAUCUGUCUAUUAUAGCAGCAAUCUAUAUAAAUAUCAUAUAUUCAUAAAAGCUCUCAAACACAUAUAUAAGUUGAACUCAAUUCAAUACAAUAUCAAUGAAAUCAAGAUCAUUGUAAUGCACUUGUUUAUUAUUUCCUUAUUAUCUUCGCUUAUU
rnacentral:sRNA from 1 species